CACAUGCAAGUCUCAGCAAACCAGUGAGGACGCCCUUACUUCCUUCACCAGUUAAAGGAGCUGACAUCAGGCACAGAAUACUCGCCCACAACGUCUAGUCCCAUCACACCCACAAGGGUUUUCAGCAGUGAUAAAGAUUGUCUAUAAGCGUCAGCUUGAAUCAGUUAAAGAAAAGAGAGCCGGCCAACCUGGUGCCAGCCGCCGCGGCUACACCGUGGGGCUCAAAUUGAUUACAAUCGGCGUUAAGCGUGAUUAAAGUUAUUGUUAAUUAGAGUUAAAUUACAACUACCCGUGAAAAGCCUGUUAUUAAGAAAUCCAUAAACGAAAGUUACUCUAAUAGUGUACUUGAACCCACGACAGCUAGACCACAACUGGGAUUAGAUACCCCACUAUG
rnacentral:rRNA from 1 species